UACGAAGGGAGCUAGCGUUGUUCGGAAUUACUGGGCGUAAAGCGCACGUAGGCGGAUUGCUAAGUCAGGGGUGAAAUCCCGGGGCUCAACCUCGGAACUGCCUUUGAUACUGACAAUCUCGAGUCCGAUAGAGGUGGGUGGAAUUCCUAGUGUAGAGGUGAAAUUCGUAGAUAUUAGGAAGAACACCGGUGGCGAAGGCGGCCCACUGGAUCGGUACUGACGCUGAGGUGCGAAAGCGUGGGGAGCAAACAGG
rnacentral:ncRNA from 2 species